rnacentral:lncRNA from 1 species
CUCCGGCACUCUCUCGCCAGAGAUCCUCAAGCUGACGAGCCUAGAGUUCUUAAACAUCUCAAACAACGCCUUUGAAGGAGAGCUUGCGCCACUCGAUUUCAGCCAAAUGACUCACCUCACGACGCUGGACGCUUACGACAACAACCUCAACGGAUCGCUAACGACGCUCGACGCUUACGACAACAACCUCAACGGAUCGCUCCCUCUGUCUCUAACCAAACUCAAUCAACUCGAUUACUUAGACCUCGGAGGAAACUACUUCAACGGUGAGAUCCCUAGAAGCUACGGAGGUUUCUUGCGUCUCACGUUACUUUCCUUAUAUGGAAAUGACC